GGAAAACUUACCAGGUCCAGACAACGUUAUGAAUGUCAGCUUAAAGAGCUUACAUGAUUCUUUGGGUGGUGGUGCAUGGCCGUUCUUAGUUGGUGGAGUGAUUUGUCUGGUUAAUUCCGUUAACGAACGAGACCCCAACCUGCUAAAUAGAGUCGUUCUCAAUUUUUGAGGGCGGGUACUUCUUAGAGGGACUUUCGGAACCAAUCCGAAGGAAGCUUGGGGCGAUAA
rnacentral:rRNA from 1 species